AAAACGACUCUCGGCAACGGAUAUCUAGGCUCUCGCAUCGAUGAAGAACGUAGCGAAAUGCGAUACUUGGUGUGAAUUGCAGAAUCCCGCGAAUCAUCUAGUUUUUGAACGCAAGUUGCGCCCGAAGCCAUUCGGCCGAGGGCACGUCUGCCUGGGUGUCACGC
rnacentral:rRNA from 1 species